CAGUCUUACCGAUGGAUCACUCGGCUCGUGGUUCGAUGAAGAACGUGGCUAAAUGCGUUAAUUGGUAUAAUCUGCAGAAACAUUGAGUACUGAAUUGUCGAAUGCACAUUGCAUCAACGGAGUCAUAUCCGUUGGUGUGUCUGGUUCAGGGGCA